rnacentral:tRNA from 1 species
GCGAGAGUGAUGUAGCCGGAAACAUGCGAGCCUUCCAAGUUCGUCUCGCGGGUUCGAAGCCCGCCUCUCGUUCCA